GGAGCGGAGCGGAGAGCUGCUGCUGCUGCUUUGCCGCGGCUCUCCGCUCUUGAAUUUUUUGUUUUUUGUACAUUUUUUUGUAAUUUACACAAAGAGCAGACAAAGCAUCCUACGGCGUUGGCACCGGCGCCGCCCGUCCCCGCGCCCGGGACCUACAUCUGCUCGUCCGCGGCUACGUUACCCUCCAGGGGCUCGGACUCUGGACCCGGGGCCGCUCGGGCGGGCUUUUGGGGCAUUUGGUCUCGGCACUCGUCUCUUGCUGGAGGAAGCAGAAGGGAAAGUGGCCUGGCAGGUGACUGGGAGACUGCGAUCUCCCUGCUCUUCUCAGUCUCCUCCCGCAAGAGCAGUCACCGACACCGAUCAGCCCUGUUCGCAGCUGGAGAAGAAAGUACGUCGGGGACGAUCGGCAGGAGAGACGAGCACGACAAUGUUUUAUCCUGCAUUGGGUUUCAUUGCACCAAAAGCCAGUGCUUUUCUCCUGCAGGCAACUGGGUAUAUGACUCAAACGCGUCUCUGCUCUCCUGCCCACAUCUCCGCUAGUUCUGUUAACGAAAGGAUACAGCAUCAUGCAGACUCAGUAGGCAUUUUCAUAUAACCCCUGCUGAAGACUUAGUAAGGUCUUCUGUGCUGCAAAAUACCAUUUGCAUUGUGGGAGCAGAGCGGGGGGGGAAGGAGCUGUUUGGCCAUCAGUAUUUGACAAGAAAUCCUGCAGUGCUAACCUAGCACUGGGAACAGCAGAGAUGGACCAAAGAACAAACAGUCCCCACAGCCCUGCCCUCCCAGGCUUUCACAGACACGGGAUUCUACCUUCCUACAUCGCAAACAAGGAUGGCAGUCACUGGAGAGCACACCUUUAGAGCACAUCACCUGUGCCCAGACUGCUGGAGGGGAAUCACAGUCCAUCACAACAGCCUCAAGGGAGGUCUCUAGAAAAGGUUGAAUUCCUUGUCUGGUCGAUGCAAAAGCACAGAGAGCUCCACCUUUCCUGCGCACCCCUUGCUGGCAGUACAGUCUGCCAAACAUAGUGUGCCACAGUCACACAAGCAAUUUUCCCUGACACCAGUGCAUUCAGUGGUUUUUCAGUAUCUGAGCUGAUUUACAAAACAAGUCCCUUAAUCGAGAAAUGGAUACAGGUAUAGGAUAUAUGCAGCUAAUUGAUGGCAUAUCCCCACUAAAACAGCCUGGUUUAACUAAUAACACGAUGCAGCGCAUGCUGCCACCUACGUCUUCUGAUUCAGGUUUCUUGUGUACUGCAGCUUCGGAUUCGUAGGUAUCCUUCACUGCAGGCAGCUGGCGUUCGGUGAGACUUCACGAGGGACCACAAACACAAGCGGCUCUAGCCGCGCUAGGGAACUAAGCAAAACCUUUCUCACCAGCGCAGCCACUCGUUCGGUUGCAGGGAGGAUGCCUCGAUGCAGAUUAGGAACCGGCAGUCACAUCGGUGAAAUGGUUUAAAAAAGACACUGGGACAAAUCCCCAGCUCGCCUGCAACGUGUGGAAAUCUACCAAGAAGGCAUGAAAGUCAGAAGAGAGUCACUGUGUUUGCAUCCCGAAAAAAAGGUCUCGAGGGGCAGGGAUGCAAGUGCCUAAUUUCGCAGAUGGAUGCAUAUUAACACAAGUUAGAUCAAGUUUCUGUCAGUGUGUGGCUGCUAAAGGGAAGAUGAUGUUUCACGAACUCAAGACCAAGGCAGAGCAAGAACAAGGAGAUAGCUUUGCAAGGACUGGUAACAUUUUACAUAUAAACAUUAAAACAACAAAAGGCUAAAUUUAUCCAGACACAAAGUCCAGCAGAAAUCUAGGAGACAAAUGGACAGCACUGUCUGUAAAGAAGAGUAUAAACCAGAAUGACAAAAAGAUAGUCUGAAUAAGUCCAUCUCAUUAACAAUUCUUCAAACACAAAUUCCCUACAUGAAGCUAUGUGUGGUCAGCCUUUGGGGUUCCCCCGUGUAGCAAAGGAUCAUGAGACUGAAAAAGGGAGGCAGAUUUUGUAAGAGAUUUGCCCAUCAUGCAGUGACUCUGGAUUGAAGAUUUUAAGCAUUACUAAAUCAGGGAAUAAAAUGGAUGCUAUUGCUAUUACAUAGCAGGAUAUCCCACUAAUCCAUGCAAUCCACUAAGUUGCUGUAGUUUUAGUGUGUUUAUUUUAGAUGAAAUUAUGUCCCAGACAGUUAAUUUUUCUCAGUUUACCCAUUUAAUUCAUAUACAAAUAAGAUAGCAAACAGAAAUCAAAACAUGACUGGUGUUUUUGGUAUAAUCCUCAUCGUGUGAACCUGCUGGUGAUGGAGCCCCACACUGUUCACAAGUCCAACACAAGUCCAACAAAACCCACGGAGCUGCUUGGAAAGUAGCCCCAUUGGCAUUAAAUUAUCUGAUUUUGAUGCUACAGGUGGCCAAUUUUGCUUAUAUUUGAGACUGCUUAGCCAUUAUGGGAUUCCCUGUACUGGUCUUUUCCAUACCUCAAGCUAAUUACAAAUUAGCUUGAGGAACUUCGCAAGGCUGAAGGGCUGGAGUGGGCCCUUUCCAAACAAUAGUUGAGUUUAGAAAUGCCUGUUCCUUCACAGGGGCUGAUUCUUAAACCCAGAGGAACCAGAUAGCCUGGAACCAAAAUUGUUCCUCUGGCUUUGGGAAAAGCAAAAUGUCUCAAGCUAAUUGACAGUCAGCUACCUGGAAUUCAAAAACUCUCUAGAUAUUCAGGACAUGGUUUAGUGGUGGGCUUGGCACUGUUAGGUUAGUGGUUGGACUUGAUCAUAAAGGCCUUUUCCAACCAACUGAUUCCAUGAUUCUAUGAUCCAAAGGUUUUCACCAGGAUUUUCAAGAGCUCCUGCACAUUUUAAAGUCCUCAAAAGGCAUGUACUAUAGAAUGAAAAACAUAGGUAUUACUAAAGAAUGUCUCCAAACUGAAAGCCAGCCAGUUUCACAAAAAUGGGCUAAAACCAGUAACAGGUACCCUGUCUCCUGCUGGAGGCUGUACAGACUAUGUUUUGCAUUUUUGAAGUCACUUCUAAAACUGUUCUUUUCUUCAUUGUUGCUGUUGGGAAGAACAGUAAAAAAAAAAACUAUGCCUGAAUGAAGUUAAAGUAAUCUGAUUAAAAAAAUCAAUAACUUGCUUUCAUUUUCAAUUCAUAUCCAGUCAUUUGGGAUCAAACUUGAAAAGAAAAAUAGAUAUUCAGAAAGGAUUUUGAAGGAUGACUGUUUCCCUUUAAGAUUAAUGAUAAACAUACUUGUAUGUUCAAGGGAGAAUAGAUCCAGUGUUAUGUAAGAGGAUAAAGAAACAAAAUCCUUUUUCCUUAAAUUAAAAUAACCAGCGUGUGUGUGGAUUUUAGACAAUCACUGAAAAUUCAGGAGACCCAUUUUCUUUCAUAACUGCAUUCCUCAUGCUAAAAUCGAUGUCUUACAACUUUUAAACAGAAUCACAACAAUUAAAGACAAAGAAGAUUUGUUUGUUCUGUUUGACCAUGCUUUGCCAACAGAGGAUUGUUCCCUGAGGAAAAUUCUGCAGCAUUUGCCCUGUGCAGAAGCCCAAAUUUGUGCUCAUCUUUUUAUUUUAUGUGGCAUUAGUAAAUCCAGUUAUUGCAUUGCCCAGUUUUUAAUCCGCUUACCUAGUACUGGAUGUAUGGUAACUUAUCUCUUUUAAUCAUUUUUUUUUUUGCCUGAACCAUUACAUAACAGUUCUUAUCAAAUCUUUCAAUGCCUACCUAAAUUUGCCCAAAAUGUGACAAGAUUGAUGGGUAAUGGAUUUUUUUCACGUUGGCAUUGUUCUUUACUGGCCCAAUCAUAUCAAAUUUGCAAAAAAACCCACAAAAUAAAACAAAUUUCUGCCACACAACCUGCAUUUUUCACUUCUGUAUUUUGCAAGAGCACUCAUACCAGAAGUUCUACAUCAGAAUUUGAUACAUAAAGUUCCUCUUUAUCACAUGAAUUCAUUUUUUCAAAAGAAGGCAAAUUAUACUAUUAAUAACCAGAAUCCAAGCCCUGAAAAGGCAAAGUCUCUGAACUACUUGCUGCAAAAUAAUGUCAUCUCAUUGGAUCUAAUUCUGGAGUCAUUAUUUGACACAAUGCAGAACAGUUUGAGCAGAAAGGCACUAAGUUAAGGUGAUAGUCACUCUUGCAUGGAAGAAGCGCGUAUGUGCCUCACUGAGCUACUCACAGCUUUGUCUGCAGACCAAAGUAAAUCCUGCUUAUUUGGCAUGUCCUUGCACAUGUCCACACUUAAUGUUUUCAGUCCUGUUAGUACUACUCCAGUAGCACAAGUAGUGCCUGGAAAUGACACACAUUUUGGCCAUACCUCUUACCCUGCUAAUAUCAUACUCGUCAUGCUGCAGCUAAAUAUUCUGCUACUGCAUGGUCAUCAGAGAGAUUUUCUUGGCCUCACGAGCAGAACAGCUGCUGCAUAGCAGAGAUAGUUACACAGGUACUGCAAAGUUGAUGUGAAAGCUGGGAAGCCACAGGAGAUGUUAUGAUGGGGAAGAAGUUGUGUCAGACCUACUCUGAAAGCAAUAAAAGGUCAGCAGAGUCUGAAGCUGCCAUGAAGAACCACUUCUACUUUCAUUUGGAGCUGGUCACUGAGCAGGGCAGGCUUGGCCUGAGCACAUCAGCAGGUGACAGCAGGCAUUGCAGCGGAAAACAGUGCAGAAAUUAUGGUGGUGAGCUCACUGGUGCAGCCAAGCCCUCUCGACUUAUGUGACUGAUCCAGACAAGGCAACGGAUUAAACUCACAGAAAAGGAAGAAAAGUGCUCACUUGAGUCAAACUAUACAUGCUUAUGUUUCUUUUCCUUUGUUUAUGGGUCCUUCAGUUUCCUUCUCUAAGUGAUGAUGAAACACUUAUGAAGAAAAAGUGUAUAAAAAAUGAUUUCAAAGUACCUAGUAUAUUCUGAGAAAUUACAUUGGCAGGUGUAGACAAACACAAAGAGAAAAUACUGUAUGAUAAAAAACCCCAUUCUCAAAUUCAUGCUUUUACCAGCUCAAACAGAUAGAGUUUCUAGCUAGAUGAAUUAAUGCACUGCAAGCAGAGAGAGAAAGGACAUCAAAUGCUUGAGUGUCUAGAAAAAAAAUAGAAAAUUUCAGACAAACCCUGCAAGUUAUCCAGUAACUGCUCAUCCAGCUACGUGAUUUUGACAAAACUGGAAAGCAAACAUGUAACCGAAACUUAAAAACAUAUCACUUUGGUUUCCUGGACUUCCAGUCCAAAUGCAAAACAAAUUGCAUCUGGUGGCAAGGGGAGGCAGGGUUGGCUUUGGGAGCUUGGCUUUUAACCAGCCCAGUGAUGUGGCAGCAUCUUCUGUGCUACCCACUUAUGGUGGUUCAGACAGCUCCUGGCAUGUCCAUGCCUGCUGUUCUUUGGCACAGCCUGGGCACAAACACUUCAAGCAUUGCCCAUGUGCUCCGAGGAGGAUGCCUCAGCUUUCACCUCCUCAUGGUGUGUCACUCCGGAGGGCAGCAUGACAUUGCUGAGGAGAGGCCAGUGGCCAGCAGGCAUGGGUGACCUUGAGCCUUCCUGAGCAGUUACCUUUUCUGGGCCUUUGGCAUGCUCUCAAGUGAUCUUUCAGCCAGGACCUCUGCUGCCUAAAAUAAAUUCAGUAAUAUUUACUGUGGCAUCCCUGCAAUUCUCUUUUGGGAUACCUCUCUGCCAACCUGGGCAGAUACAGGUUUUGGUAAGUUUACUCGGGUUCUUCUUGGGCAGUGAGCUCCUGAGCUGACCUGAGGCCAAAGUGACUCACUUGGUGUUGUUUUGAGGAAAGGCAGUAUUUUAGGAGAUUUUCUUGCCUGUCUCUUAUAUGCUAAUGAUGUGCAAGUCUACCAUAUUGUUUAGAGGUGGCCUUGACAACUGUAUUUUUACAAGGCAUUCCCUCCCCACCCCUUGAAGGACUGACCCAUUUAGGAAGAAGAGAAGCUGAAGGAAAGGGAAUUUCUUUGACCUUUUCCAAGCCUUCAGUGUGGGGCCUGUGGCAGAAGGGGCUGACAGUGAGAGACGGAGCUGCGAGGCAGCACACCCUGGAAGCCACACUGCUCUGGAGCAGGCAAAAACAGGUGCUAACGAGAUAAAAGUGCCCCAAACCCCAUACACUGGCAGCCUCACCAUGCCUGGCCAAUGCACACGUGUUGUAUUCCCAGCCUUCAUCUAAAACACCCUGCAUACCUUCAUCAAGUCUCUCCUCUGCAAAUGCAGCCAGGGAUAAGAAGAGUUGACAGGAUGCAUGGACACAACCCAGGAUUCAGGGGAAGCCACCACUUCAUGUCUGUCUCCUUACUCCUUUUAGAAGUACCUUCCUUUCUGAAAGCUGUAAUUUGCUGUCCCUUAAUAAAAGUCUCUU